rnacentral:rRNA from 1 species
GACGAACGCUGGCGGCGUGCCUAAUACAUGCAAGUCGAGCGAACGAAAGGGAGCUUGCUCCCUAUUCGUUAGCGGCGGACGGGUGAGUAACACGUGGGCAACCUACCUGUAAGACUGGGAUAACUCGCGGAAACGUGAGCUAAUACCGGAUAACAUCUUCCUCCGCAUGGAGGAAGAUUGAAAGACGGCUCUGCUGUCACUUACAGAUGGGCCCGCGGCGCAUUAGCUAGUUGGUGAGGUAACGGCUCACCAAGGCGACGAUGCGUAGCCGACCUGAGAGGGUGAUCGGCCACACUGGGACUGAGACACGGCCCAGACUCCUACGGGAGGCAGCAGUAGGGAAUCUUCCGCAAUGGACGAAAGUCUGACGGAGCAACGCCGCGUGAGCGAAGAAGGUCUUCGGAUCGUAAAGCUCUGUUGUUAGGGAAGAAUAAGUACGAGAGUAACUGCUCGUA